rnacentral:rRNA from 1 species
UCCUGGCUCAGAUUGAACGCUGGCGGCAUGCCUUACACAUGCAAGUCGAACGGCAGCACGGGAGCAAUCCUGGUGGCGAGUGGCGAACGGGUGAGUAACAUAUCGGAACGUGCCCGGUAGUGGGGGAUAACCCGGCGAAAGUCGGACUAAUACCGCAUACGACCUACGGGUGAAAGCGGGGAUCGCAAGACCUCGCGCUAUUGGAGCGGCCGAUAUCAGAUUAGCUAGUUGGUGGGGUAAAGGCCUACCAAGGCGACGAUCUGUAGCUGGUCUGAGAGGACGACCAGCCACACUGGGACUGAGACACGGCCCAGACUCCUACGGGAGGCAGCAGUGGGGAAUUUUGGACAAUGGGCGCAAGCCUGAUCCAGCCAUGCCGCGUGCGGGAAGAAGGCCUCGGUUGUAA